GUUAAGCUUUUAAAUAACUAUUAAAGAUAUUAUCCCCUUGUAGUGUAGUUUAAUAGCUAUCUACAUAUUAACUUAAUAUAAAGUAUAAUAGUUUAUAUUUUAUAAUAUGACGUUAACAAUUUUGUUUAAUAUUUGAAAAUGUUAGUAUUAGUAAUAUUAGUAUAUGUGCUAAAGGAACUCGGCAAAAAACCACUCAACUGUUUAUCAAAAACAUAGCUAUAUGAAUUAAUAUAUAGUUAUUUCUGCUCAAUGAUUUAAAUAGCCGCAGUACUCUGACUGUGCAAAGGUAGCAUAAUCAGUUGGCUUUUAAUUAGAGUCUGGUAUGAACGAAAAUAUGGGUAGUAACUGUCUUAGCACAUUUUUUCGAACUUAUUAAACAAGUGCAAAUGCUUGUAAUUUAACAAUAGACGAGAAGACCCUAGAAACUUGGACAAGUUUUUGUUGGGGCGACAGAAUUACACUUAACUAAUCUUAUAAUACACGACGCGAUGUUGAAAGAAUAAGUUACUCUAGGGAUAACAGCAUAAUUUCAUUAGUUUGUGACCUCGAUGUUGGACUAGGUACUAUACCCUUAAGGCAAGGAUAUAUUAUGCUCUGUUCGAGCAAAAUUACCUACAUGAUCUGAGUUCAGAC
rnacentral:rRNA from 1 species